rnacentral:rRNA from 1 species
GAGAUGUGGGUUAGUCCGCACGAGCGCACCCUGAUCUUCAGUUGCCAUCAUUUAGUUGGGCACUCUGGAGAGACUGCCGGUGACAAGCCGGAGGAAGGUGGGGAUGACGUCAAGUCCUCAUGGCCCUUAUGGGCUGGGCUACACACGUGCUACAAUGGCGAUGACAGAGAGUUAAUCUCAAAAAGUCGUCUCAGUUCGGAUUGUCCUCUGCAACUCGAGGGCAUGAACGUGGAAUCGCUAGUAAUCGCGGAUCAGCAUGCCGCGGUGAAUACGUUCCCGGGCCUUGUACACGCCGCCCGUCACACCAUGGGAGUGGGUUGCAAAAGAAGUGGCUAGUCUAACCUUCGGGAGGACGGUCACCACUUUGUGAUUCAUGACUGGGGUGAAGUCGUAACAAGGUAGCCCUAGGGGAACCUGGGGCUGGAUCACCUCCUUAAACGCAAAGCCACCCGGCUAGCGCUCACAACGAAUUACUUGAUU